CCAUAGACGAUGCUGUUCCCUGUCAGUAGUGCCACAUGGCUGUAUGGAGCCUGGUCGUCUUGCAGAAGUAGAUUCCCGUGACCACUGCUGCAACAAUCAGGGCGACGGUGGCAGCGCCCUGGUCGUGAAGACUAAGAAAGGUUACAAGCAGAUCGGCGUGGCCAGCUUUGUCUCUGUCAAGGGCUGCGAGGAGACUGGUCAGCCGGCCGGGUACACCAGAGUCACCUCCGUCCUCGACUGGAUCAAGAAAACCGCCGGAUUUUAAUGAGCAACUAUGUGCAGCGAAUUUAAAACUUCCGAUUCUGUUUGUUACAAGUAUGAUGGAUCUUAAACAAAAUUUUAAUAAAUCAGG